AUUGAACGCUGGCGGCAGGCCUAACACAUGCAAGUCGAACGGUAACAGGAAACAGCUUGCUGUUUCGCUGACGAGUGGCGGACGGGUGAGUAAUGUCUGGGAAACUGCCUGAUGGAGGGGGAUAACUACUGGAAACGGUAGCUAAUACCGCAUAACGUCGCAAGACCAAAGAGGGGGACCCUCGGGCCUCUUGCCAUCGGAUGUGCUCAGAUGGGAUUAGCUUGUUGGUGGGGUAACGGCUCACCAAGGCGACGAUCCCUAGCUGGUCUGAGAGGAUGACCAGCCACACUGGAACUGAGACACGGUCCAGACUCCUACGGGAGGCAGCAGUGGGGAAUAUUGCACAAUGGGCGCAAGCCUGAUGCAGCCAUGCCGCGUGUAUGAAGAAGGCCUUCGGGUUGUAAAGUACUUUCAGCUGGGAGGAAGGGAGUAAAGUUAAUACCUUUGCUCAUUGACGUUACCCGCAGAAGAAGCACCGGCUAACUCCGUG
rnacentral:rRNA from 1 species